AGAGUUUGAUUAUGGCUCAGGAUGAACGCUGGCGGCGUGCCUAACACAUGCAAGUCGAGCGAUUCUCUUCGGAGAAGAGCGGCGGACGGGUGAGUAACGCGUGGGUAACCUGCCUCAUACACAUGGAUAACAUACCGAAAGGUAUGCUAAUACAGGAUAAUAUAAGAGAUUCACAUGGAUUUCUUAUCAAAGCUCCGGCGGUAUGAGAUGGACCCGCGUCUGAUUAGCUAGUUGGUAAGGUAACGGCUUACCAAGGCGACGAUCAGUAGCCGACCUGAGAGGGUGAUCGGCCACAUUGGAACUGAGACACGGUCCAAACUCCUACGGGAGGCAGCAGUGGGGAAUAUUGCACAAUGGGCGAAAGCCUGAUGCAAGCAACGCCGCGUGAGUGAUGAAGGCCUUCGGGUCGUAAAACUCUGUCCUCAAGGAAGAUAAUGACGGUACUUGAGGAGGAAGCCCAGGCUAACUACGUGCCAGCCGCUGC
rnacentral:rRNA from 1 species